rnacentral:hammerhead_ribozyme from 1 species
AUUCAGCUGAGUCCCAAACAGGAUGAAAGGCGCGUCCUGGAU